rnacentral:rRNA from 1 species
CCUUGUCGGCCCCGGGUGGGAGAGCUACCCCAAGCAGCGCGUCCAUACGGGGAGGAGGAAAAUCAAUAUGGGCAUUAGUGGUAAUGGAAUGAGUCAAUGUAAUAUCUUAACGAGUAUCCUGGAGGGCAAGUCUGGUGCCAGCAGCCGCGGUAAUUCCAGUCCAAUAGGUAUAUUUAAGUUGUUGCAGUUAAAAAGCUCGUAGUUGGAUUUCGGGUGCGUCGACGCGUCUGCCUCUGGUAUGUACUGCGCUCGGUGCCCUUUCAGCUGAAUACGCUUGGGUUAACUGCUUGGGAAGUGGAGUCAGCAGAGUGACCUUGAGCAAACAAGAGUGUUCAAAGCAAGCGACGCUUGAAUUUUUUAGCAUGGAAUCACACGAUAGGACUCUGGCCUAUCUUGUUGGUCUGUAGGACCGGAGUAAUGAUUAAGAGGGACAGUCGGGGGCAUUCGUAUUUCAUUGUCAGAGGUGAAAUUCUUGGAUUUAUGAAAGACGAACUUCUGCGAAAGCAUUUGCCAAGGAUGUUUUCAUUGAUCAAGAACGAAAGUUGGGGGCUCGAAGACGAUUAGAUACCGUCGUAGUCUCAACCAUAAACGAUGCCGACUAGGGAUUGGCAGGUGUUCCAUUGAUGACCCUGCCAGCACCUUAUGAGAAAUCAAAGUUUUUGGGUUCCGGGGGGAGUAUGGUCGCAAGGCUGAAACUUAAAGGAAUUGACGGAAGGGCACCACCAGGCGUGGAGCCUGCGGCUUAAUUUGACUCAACACGGGGAAACUUACCAGGUCCAGACACGGGGAGGAUUGACAGAUUGAGAGCUCUUUCUUGAUUCUGUGGGUGGUGGUGCAUGGCCGUUCUUAGUUGGUGGGUUGCCUUGUCAGGUUGAUUCCGGUAACGAACGAGACCUCAGCCUGCUAAAUAGUCACGGGUACCUUGGUACACGCCUGACUUCUUAGAGGGACUAUGGCGUCUAGUCAAGGA